GCGAACGCUGGCGGCAUGGCUAAAGCAUGCAAGUCGAACGUUUAAAGCCCCUUCGGGGGUGUAUAGAGUGGCGAAAGGGCGAGGAAUACGUUUCCACGUACCCCGAGGUCGAGGAUAGCCGGCUUAACAGCCGGGUAAUACUCGAUGUGGUCCUUCGGGAUCAAAGGCUUCGGUCGCCUUGGGAGCGGGGAACGUCCUAUCAGGUUGUUGGUGAGGUAACGGCUCACCAAGCCGAAGACGGGUAGCGGGUGUGAGAGCACGACCCGCCGCAUCGGGACUGAGACACUGCCCGGACUCCUACGGGAGGCUGCAGCAACGAAUCUUCCGCAAUGCGCGAAAGCGUGACGGAGCAAUGCCGCGUGCAGGAUGAAGCCCUUCGGGGUGUAAACUGCUGUCAGGGUUUAGCAACACAAUGAGCAGACCCAAAGGAAGGGCCGGCUAACUUCGUG
rnacentral:rRNA from 1 species